UACAGAGGGUGCGAGCGUUAAUCGGAAUUACUGGGCGUAAAGCGUGCGUAGACGGCUAUCUAAGUCGGGUGUGAAAUCCCUGGGCUCAACCUGGGAAUGGCAGUGGAUACUGGAAAGCUAGAGUGCGGUAGAGGGUAGUGGAAUUCCCGGUGUAGCAGUGAAAUGCGUAGAGAUCGGGAGGAACACCAGUGGCGAAGGCGGCUACCUGGACCAGCACUGACACUGAGGCACGAAAGCGUGGGGAGCAAACAGG
rnacentral:rRNA from 1 species